rnacentral:rRNA from 1 species
CCUACGGGAGGCAGCAGUGGGGAAUAUUGGACAAUGGGGGGAACCCUGAUCCAGCCAUGCCGCGUGUGUGAAGAAGGCCCUCGGGUUGUAAAGCACUUUCAGUGAGGAAGAACGCCUGGUGGUGAAUACCCAUCAGGAAAGACAUCACUCACAGAAGAAGCACCGGCUAACUCCGUGCCAGCAGCCGCGGUAAUACGGAGGGUGCGAGCGUUAAUCGGAAUUACUGGGCGUAAAGCGCGCGUAGGUGGCUUGAUAAGCCGGUUGUGAAAGCCCCGGGCUCAACCUGGGAACGGCAUCCGGAACUGUCAAGCUAGAGUGCAGGAGAGGAAGGUAGAAUUCCCGGUGUAGCGGUGAAAUGCGUAGAGAUCGGGAGGAAUACCAGUGGCGAAGGCGGCCUUCUGGACUGACACUGACACUGAGGUGCGAAAGCGUGGGUAGCAAACAGGAUUAGAUACCCUUGUAGUC